AGCGGACUGAUGGGAGCUUGCUCCCUGAUGUUAGCGGCGGACGGGUGAGUAACACGUGGGCAACCUGCCUGUAAGACUGGGAUAACUCCGGGAAACCGGGGCUAAUACCGGAUAACCCGUUCCACCUCAUGGUGGAGCGGUAAAAGAUGGCCUCUGGCUAUCACUUACAGAUGGGCCCGCGGCGCAUUAGCUAGUUGGUAAGGUAACGGCUUACCAAGGCGACGAUGCGUAGCCGACCUGAGAGGGUGAUCGGCCACACUGGGACUGAGACACGGCCCAGACUCCUACGGGAGGCAGCAGUAGGGAAUCUUCCGCAAUGGACGAAAGUCUGACGGAGCAACGCCGCGUGAGUGAUGAAGGUUUUCGGAUCGUAAAGCUCUGUUGUUAGGGAAGAACAAGUGCCGUUUGAAUAAGGCGGCACCUUGACGGUACCUAACCAGAAAGCCACGGCUAACUACGUGCCAGCAGCCGCGGUAAUACGUAGGUGGCAAGCGUUGUCCGGAAUUAUUGGGCGUAAAGCGCGCGCAGGCGGUCUCUUAAGUCUGAUGUGAAAGCCCACGGCUCAACCGUGGAGGGUCAUUGGAAACUGGGAGACUUGAGUACAGAAGAGGAGAGUGGAAUUC
rnacentral:rRNA from 1 species